GACGAACGCUGGCGGCGUGCUUAACACAUGCAAGUCGAACGGUAAGGCCCUUCGGGGUACACGAGUGGCGAACGGGUGAGUAACACGUGGGUGAUCUGCCCUGCACUUCGGGAUAAGCCUGGGAAACUGGGUCUAAUACCGGAUAGGACCACUGCCUGCAUGGGUGGUGGUGGAAAGCUUUUGCGGUGUGGGAUGGGCCCGCGGCCUAUCAGCUUGUUGGUGGGGUGAUGGCCUACCAAGGCGACGACGGGUAGCCGGCCUGAGAGGGUGACCGGCCACACUGGGACGGGGAUACGGCCCAGCCUCCUACGGGAGGCAGCAGUGGGGAAUAUUGCACAAUGGGCGCAAGCCUGAUGCAGCGACGCCGCGUGAGGGAUGACGGCCUUCGGGUUGUAAACCUCUUUCAGCACCGACGAAGCGCAAGUGACGGUAGGUGCAGAAGAAGGACCGGCCAACUACGUGCCAGCCGCCGCAGUAA
rnacentral:rRNA from 1 species